CCCCACCAAUGAGCAGGCUGAGGAUGAACAAGGAGUUAGGAGUGGACAGAGCCAGGACAGCCAACCCCAGCUGACCCAGGGGAUAUCCCAAACUCUGUGACAUCAUACAUAACAAUAAAAGCUGAGGGAAGAAGGCAGGGGGAAUGUUGAGAGGGCUCAGGUCAUGAAGUUGGAUACUGCAUAGUUUAAGAAGUGAUGUGGAGGAACAUGACUCUAAUGCAGGAGCCGAAAGGUCUGAUCAUUGAGAAAGCGUGCAGAUGAAAAUGUUUUAUUGUACUUCUGGGAAAGGAAUGUCUGCAAAGAAAUAAAAAGAGCCAUCAGGAAUUCUAAGUGGAACAUUCAAAACCAAUAUUACACAUUGUGGACUGGAGCCUGGAUGAACCCAUUUCUGUAUAGUGAAAAGUGCCUGUCUGGUAACCUGAAAAGUUAAAAAGAAUACAGAUGUUCUUUUUAACAUGGCAGGAUGUUUUGGUCCAGCUGGAACAAACAAAUUCGGAGAGGGACUGAAAAAAGUGUACAUUAUUAGGAUGUCAACAUCACACUAACAGAGAGCCAGGCCAAAACCUCUACCAGGAAAUAACAUCUGUAUCUGACUUCUUGGAUUUUGAAGACUUACCUAAGCAGACGUUUCACCCAUGGAGCAGAAUCACUGUGAUGCCAUCGGUAGCGUAACCCAUGUCUGCUUCUGAAAAGAGAACUGUUUCAUCAGAUAAAGCAACAGGAAGCUGCUCUUGAAUACACCAAUGAGGCAACAG